AAAUACAGUACAUGUCAAAGUUGAGCCGUCUGGCUCAUGUCUCAACCUCUAACUACUCUGCUGUAUUAGGCCCUGAAGGUGAGCGACCAUUACCCUGUGGAGGUAGAGCUGAAAAGGAAAACACCAACAGAACAGAGCUCUGCGACUGGGAAAUAGAACCCUGUACAUGGACAGGAGGACGGAGGAAGUGAGUGAAGAGGUGAUGGAGAAGAAGCCUUAUCCAACCAGAGAAGCUGAAUUUAGAGAUACUGGUGCUAAAGAUGCAGAUGGUCAACCUUGGGAAAAAUGACAUUGAACUUACCACAAUACUAGUCAUAUUAGCACUGUAUGCGUGUUUAAUG